rnacentral:tRNA from 1 species
UAGCUCAGUUGGUAAAGAAUCUGCCUGUAAUGCAGGAGAUCCAGGUUCGAUUCCUGG